GGGAGUCUUGUCCUAACAGGGCCAAUCAUAUUGUCUCGUUUUGGCUUUUAAUGGAGGAAUAAAUUUUAUAAUUGAGAGCCGUGCUAAACUCUCUACCAAUGGAGCUACACCUCCAGUUCCUAGAUCAAUUUUUUUUUCCAGGAAAUAAUGGACGUGACAUGACUUUAGAAGACAAUUUACAGUGUGAAAAGCAUGGACGCCUCAGCCCUCUGAGUGGCGAAGGCUAUCCAUUGCUGCAUUGAACAGAACUGGACAAGUGGCUGGAAGCUGGUCAUUGACUUCUCUGCCAGAGGUUGCUUCCUCUCCUUUGCUACUGGGCAGUCACGGAGGCUUCUCAUGCUGACUGAGCUGUCCUCAGCCAUUGCCAUGUGCCAGUCACCACCUGUCCCGCUUGAGUCAGGAGCAGGUGUAGCUCUCUUAGUCUUCCUAUUGGGCCUAUGAGAGGAUUAGUUGGGGCUGGGGCUCUUGAUUUGUUGUACAACGGAGU
rnacentral:lncRNA from 1 species